AACGAACGCUGGCGGCGCGCCUAACACAUGCAAGUCGAACGAGAAGGCGUAGCAAUACGCUUGUAGAGUGGCGAACGGGUGAGUAAUACGUGGGUGACCUACCCUCGAGUGGGGAAGUAACCCGCCCGAAAGGACGGGCGUAAUGCCGCGUACGCUUCCGUCCUCACGGGGACGGAAGGAAAGACUGUACCGUGGGUACGGCGCUCAAGGAUGGGCGUCACGUCCUAUCAGCUUGUUGGUAGGGUAACGG
rnacentral:rRNA from 1 species